CUGCGCUUCCUUUAGCUCCACAGGCUUGCUGAAGUUCCUCAGAUGUUGUGGCGGAGAUGAAUUAUAUCUUGUCACUCCCUCUCUGUGACUGUGUAAUGGAUAUCUAAAUCCUGAUCUGUCCAUCACAAAUUUUAUGGAGAAGAAAGAGAUCAAAACAAAACAGAAUGGAGAGUUACCACACCUACAUAUUCAAGAGAGAGAUUCCAUCAACAAGUAGAAAGCACAGAUGAGAGGGAAACACCAAAUAAUUGAAGGAAUUCAGCACACUUUCCUGCUAAGGAAAUGUCACUGUUCCCUCAUCAUUUGCUGUAUAGAAUGUUUAUCUGGAUUCAUGAAAUCAAAUUUCAGUCCUGAAACUUUGAUAAACUAUAUUAAAUCAAUGUGCAAAGAUCAUCAUAAACACCUCAGGUAUGCCCUUUUAAGUCAAUCUUUAUGUUACCUAAAACUAAAGGCAGAUGCAGAGGGAUAA
rnacentral:lncRNA from 1 species